UGGGGAAUAUUGGACAAUGGGCGCAAGCCUGAUCCAGCCAUGCCGCGUGAGUGACGAAGGUCUUCGGAUUGUAAAGCUCUUUUUACCAGGGACGAUAAUGACGGUACCUGGAGAAUAAGCCCCGACUAACUUCGUGCCAGCAGCCGCGGUAAUACGAAGGGGGCUAGCGUUGUUCGGAAUUACUGGGCGUAAAGCGCACGUAGGCGGAUUUGUAAGUCAGGGGUGAAAUCCCGGGGCUCAACCUCGGAACUGCCUUUGAUACUGCAAGUCUCGAGUCCGAUAGAGGUGAGUGGAAUUCCUAGUGUAGAGGUGAAAUUCGUAGAUAUUAGGAAGAACACCAGUGGCGAAGGCGGCUCACUGGAUCGGUACUGACGCUGAGGUGCGAAAGCGUGGGGAGCAAACAGGAUUAGAUACCCCUGUAGUCCCUGAGCGGGCUGGCAAGGCGCAU
rnacentral:rRNA from 1 species